GUCGAACGAACCUUCGGGUUAGUGGCGGACGGGUGAGUAACGCGUGGGAAUCUGCCCUCAGGAGGGGGAUAACGGCUGGAAACGGCCGCUAAUACCCCAUAUGCCGAGAGGUGAAAUGAAUUUCGCCUGAGGAUGAGCCCGCGUCUGAUUAGCUAGUUGGUGAGGUAAGAGCUCACCAAGGCAUCGAUCAGUAGCUGGUCUGAGAGGAUGAUCAGCCACACUGGGACUGAGACACGGCCCAGACUCCUACGGGAGGCAGCAGUGGGGAAUUUUCCGCAAUGGGCGAAAGCCUGACGGAGCAACGCCGCGUGAGGGAUGAAGGCCUCUGGGCUGUAAACCUCUUUUCUCAAGGAAGAAGAUCUGACGGUACUUGAGGAAUAAGCCACGGCUAAUUCCGUGCCAGCAGCCGCGGUAAUACGGGAGUGGCAAGCGUUAUCCGGAAUUAUUGGGCGUAAAGCGUCCGCAGGCGGCCCUUCAAGUCUGCUGUUAAAACGUGGAGCUUAACUCCAUCAUGGCAGUGGAAACUGUUGGGCUUGAGUGUGGUAGGGGCAGAGGGAAUUCCCGGUGUAGCGGUGAAGUGCGUAGAUAUCGGGAAGAACACCAGUGGCGAAGGCGCUCUGCUGGGCCAUAACUGACGCUCAUGGACGAAAGCCAGGGGAGCGAAAGGGAUUAGAUACCCCUGUAGUCCUGGCCGUAAACGAUGAACACUAGGUGUCGGGGGAAUCGACCCCCUCGGUGUCGUAGCCAACGCGUUAAGUGUUCCGCCUGGGGAGUACGCACGCAAGUGUGAAACUCAAAGGAAUUGACGGGGGCCCGCACAAGCGGUGGAGUAUGUGGUUUAAUUCGAUGCAACGCGAAGAACCUUACCAGGGUUUGACAUCCUGCGAACCUCUUGGAAACGAGAGGGUGCCUUCGGGAACGCAGUGACAGGUGGUGCAUGGUUGUCGUCAGCUCGUGUCGUGAGAUGUUGGGUUAAGUCCCGCAACGAGCGCAACCCACGUCUUUAGUUGCCAGCAUUUAGUUGGGCACUCUAGAGAGACCGCCGGUGAUAAACCGGAAGAAGGUGUGGAUGACGUCAAGUCAUCAUGCCCCUUACAUCCUGG
rnacentral:rRNA from 1 species